UGGUAGUUACCAAAACAAUGUGGCUGAGUGAAGGACAUGAGCUAUAGUAGAAUUGGUAUUUAUGGUAAAUACCUGUGGGUUCGUGAAUGGGCAGUACCCACAUAACAAAGCACAAAGACAUAGAAACAGGUCAUUUAAUUACAAACAAACUAUUUACAUUUGCAGUAGAACUUUUAAAGAGAAACGUUUUUUAACGCUAAGAAAUAGGUGAAGAUGGGAGAUCUGCAGUGAGGAAAGCAAUAUGGCGGCAGUCAGCAGGAUUUCCCAUCACGCAGUCACUGUAAUUUUUAAAACUUGUGCCCAAGUUCAGGAAAAUGAAGGCAGUUGCAGCCACCAGUCUGCUACCUCAGCACGAUGCAUGCACACUGAGCGCUUCCCAGUUUGCAUCACUGGUUCCUGGUGCUCUGCUAGCUCCUACGUCUGCACACUGAGGGAAGCACUGCGUCAGGAGACAGGGCUGGCACGGCAACCGCUCCUUCAGCCGUGCUUACAUGACUACUUUAAUUUGACAUAUGGCACAUUACUGUCAAAACCAGUGGUCCUGUCUGCUUGCUGCUAUGUAUUAAUGUUUAUGCAGCCAAUUUUUUUUUGGCAAGGUUGGAUUUUAGCUGGAGCAGUUCCCUGAGCUUGCUCAAUGCACAGAACAUGAACAUUCACAAAAACGGAAUACAGGACCUCCGUGGCAGCCUAGAUUUAUGCCAGGUUCAUACCAGAGAAAGCAGCUGUGUGGUAAUGACCUAUGGGAAUGUCAGAACUCAAUUCACAUCGCGCGAUGAAGUCAAUGAACUGAGAUGCUCUCCACAGUUUGUCUUCAUGGCUGACAAAGAUAUCAAAACAUUUUUCAAGCACAGAAAACACUCGUAGAAGUUGAUCUUUGCCUCAUAAACGAGCUCCCAAAUUAAGCCCAAGUUCUUAGAAAGCAUCAUGGAUAUUCUUGUUAUUAAGUCAUACAGAACCCUGACUACAGAUACACGGGAAACAGUACACAGGCAUUUUCCACUGUAUGGUCAUGACAUAUUUGUGCAGCUUUUCUUGGCUCACUGGAGCAGCAAUAUAAACAGUAUCUCUCAGCUUAUGUCAGACAGAAUGAAUAGUUUUCUCAUGAUAUGGCAAGCUACUAUUUUUAUUCUGCUCUGCACAAGGCUGCCUUCAAGGACAACGUUCUCAUUGAGGGGAAUCUACACCAGGAUUACACCAGAGGAGAGGCCAAAUCCAGAAGAAUGUCUACACUGUUUGGGUCAUUUGCUUAUCUGCUGAGUGGCAGCCAGCUUCUGAAAAUGAAUCUUAAAGCAAUGGAGAUCAACUUGGAACAAAAUUUUCUGCUAUAAGAAUUCAGCCUUGAAUGGUUCCAGGAAAAUAUAAACAAAUAAAAGCUGUCUCUGAAAGGCUUUCCUGACGCUUUCUGAAGAACUGAGGUGCAUUGGAGUCCUGUGCCAGCGCAGAUCUCAUCAUGGGAGACAUCCAAAAAAGUUACAUCACAGAUCUGAAAUGUUUGGACUGGGAAAUGAAGGAUUCAGUUUCACUAUUCUUCUCAAAAUCUUCCUAUUUUAAGGAAUAUUUUUGGUUUUGUGGUUGGAUGACAAAUCCUUCAGCAUUAAAAAAAAUAUUUUGAUUAACAUUUUCCAUACUUUGACCACAGGAUAGUUAAAUUCUUAAGCAGGAAUCGUAUACAUUGAAUUCUGUGACCCACAGAAACUUCAAGUUUUAAUUCAUAGAUGGAAUUACCAUAUUACAAAAAAAGGAAUCAAAUAUCAUCGAAGUGAAAGGAAGAGGAAAAUCUGAAUAAGAAAAGAAGAAUCUGGAAAGAGAUCAGAAUGGCUGUGGAGGUUCUGCACUCUGAUGUCUUUCAGCCCUGGGGAGAAUGGGCUGCAACCACUCCUGAGAUUCCUCCCCCUCCAGUAACGCAUCUGUGACUCACACAGAACACAGGCAAUUAUUAGAGGUUUUACUGAGGGACAUUACGUUUUUUCUUAUUUAUGGCCACACAAUCAUCUUACAGAAGCAGUUAGUAAGUUGUUUCUAAAACAUCAGUGACUUGUGUUAGGUAGGGGGAUGACACCACUGUCAUUGCUCCAAAUGGAUGCUUUAUAGCACUGCAGUAGGAAAAAAAACCACAGCUUAACGCUCACUUAUUGCAGUGCAGAAGCCAAUGCGUGCAGCCUUAACUUAAAAAUGCUUGAAGAACCAUUUGAAACAAUGGCUGUGAAGCACUGGGCAUUCCCACUGAGCCGAGCAGACAGCUUCCAGCAGUGUGCCACUUCCAUCACGGCUGCAGCACGAAAUGCAAAGCUGCUGUGACACGUACAGCCAUGUCAGACGGUGAAAGCUUCUGCACUGAGGGCACCUCAUACCAGAAGGAGUUAGAGGCAAACCUGAGGAGUUAAAUAAAAUGUUGCCUUGUUUUCCUUAGGAAUUCUGAGUUUCAAACUGACACUAAUGAGCUAACAAACACCCUUUUCUGUUGCACAUAUUAUAAUUCUGUACAGAAGUGACAUUCAAGUGCUCUAAAUACCAGGAGCACUCACAUUCUUGGACUAAGACCCUUCCUAAGUGGCUCUCCAGCUAACUUCGUCUGUUUUGUG